rnacentral:rRNA from 1 species
GUAACAAGGUUUCCGUAGGUGAACCUGCGGAAGGAUCAUUACUGAAAAACUAUUUUUUUAAGUUUUUUAUAUCCCAUUGUUUACUUACCCUGUUGCUUUCACUGGACAGAUUUCACCUUGUGUGGGUGGGUCCUUUGGCUUCUUGUGUAAAAAUACCACCUGCCAAAGAGUUGCCAGUGGUAAGACCUAUUUAUCAAAACUUUUUUAGUUUCAAUAAACACAAUUGUCUGAAUAUUUUUUUUGUUUUCUUUAAUGAAAUAAAAACUUUCAACAACGGAUCUCUAGGCUCUUGCAUCGAUGAAGAACGCAGUGAAAUGCGAUAAGUAAUGUGAAUUGCAGAAUCUCGUGAAUCAUUGAAUCUUUGAACGCACAUUGCGCCCUAUGGUAUUCCAUUGGGCAUGCCUGUCUGAGCGUCAGCUCCCCCUCUACUCAAGAAUCAUUUUUAUAUGAUACUUGGAUUACUUUGGAGAUGUAACUGUAUAUUAAGUUGCCCUCCAGAAAUUCAUUGGCAGUAUGGUUUGUACUUGGACCAGACGUAAUAGUAAUAAAAUCGUUUGUCUGGGUAUAAUUGAUUGUACUUGCCUUUAACCCCCACCCAUUUUUAUUUUGGGUGACCUCAGAUCAGGUAGGGAUACCCGCUGAACUUAAGCAUAUCAAUA